rfam:Triticum urartu cultivar G1812 contig846729, whole genome shotgun sequence.
GGGGCAAGGGGGCGCCCCAAGUAGGAGGAAUCCUACUUGGGGCCCUUGUCCAAUUCGCCCCCUUUUCCUUUUUCACCGGAGGGGGGAGGAAAAAGGAGGGAUGAGGGAAGGAAGGGGGAGGCUGAAUCCCUCCCCUUCCUUC